AAUUAUCUCAAAUUCAGGGAGUCCGAUCGAAACAAAGAAAGAAAAGGAGAGCAACAAUUCUCUUUAAUUAAUCUCAUCAAUAAUGGAAGUUCUUCGGGGAUUCAUUGUCAACGGCUACCGGCGACGAUGGCAACGCCGAAACAAAACGCCAUGCCCAUAGAGGUUCAAUGUUGCUUAUUUCUCACCAAUUUGAACCUGAACGUCCUGAUCUUCGAUCCAAGAAGCAUCAUUUGCGGGACGCGAAGUGCAAGGUCUAGUUUCUGGUUGAUUCCCUUUGAAAAAUGGCAGCAGUAUCAGUUAAGCAACCAACUGCGGGCAAUAAUUGAAUCAAAAGAUAGUUAUAUGAUUUUUUCUUGUUCCGACUCCGAGCACUACAGAAGAUGAUGUGAAGCAAUGAUGUUGCAGCUAUUUGCUCUUUCCUGUGAAUGGUAUCCUUUAUUGAAGUAAAUCCAUGUCACAAGGGGUGAGAUUUGGGCACUUAUCGAGGACCAAAUGGUGGAAUUAUGUUAUGUUCCAACACUUCAACCGUUUGUUUUUCUCAGAGGUCAAAAGGCUGCUUAGCUUAUUGCACUGUUUAUACUACUAGGUGACUCAUGAAAGUUCUCUCAAAAUUUUGAAUGUUUAUGUAUCCGUCCGCCAACUCCAUUUCUUUUUCUUUUUUUUUACUGUUAAUAUUGCAUCAGGUCAGAGGUCGUUUCCAGUUUCAACAAGUGUAGUUUCUUUUUUUUCCAUGACUGUAGGCCCGUUAAUCAUCAGUGAUCAGAUGGUGAUGUUAUUGGGGGAGUACAGGAAAAAGAGCACAAGCAUUUUGAUUUGACCCUCUUUGUAGAUUUCCUCCUGCUAUUUCCUUAAAGAAUUAUUUCUUUUCUCUAACCGAACCUUAGUACCUUAACCUGCAGAACCACAACACCUGUAGUUUCUCUUUGAAAGGAAUGCCACAAGGAGUUGUUCAACAUAGGCAGCCAGGAAAUCUAUCAUAUACCAGCUUAGACAAAGCUCAUUAAGAAAGGUCAUUCUAGCUUCUACAAAUGAUUUGACCGGUGACAAAAAUAGUUCACUUCUACAGCUCUCCUUGCAAAGACAGCACCUUGGAGACAAGCAAGACCACACAAAAACCACCCCACCCCACGUUUUAUUUUUGUGCAUUUUUACCAUCAAACUACAUUGGAGAUGCAAAAUUGAGAAGUUAUUGGUAGUGUAAUGUCCUGAACCUCUCAAGCCCAACCUAUAUAGCACUGACACUCCUAAAAUGGCCAAGUAUCUCUAUCGGAUACCGACACGUGUCCAACAUGCCAGCUAGCAUCCCCAUUAUUUUAUUAUUUUUCAACACGUGAUAAGCUAAAAUUUAGGGUAUUCACCACAACUUCUCACAAUUGCACAACACACCAACUCUCAAAUUUAGGGUAUUGAUCAGCAGCUGGCCGAUUCUUUCUUGUAGCCUGAAAAAUAUGCAGAAGGCUUGUUAGAUUCUAAUUUGUAGUUUUGUUGUGUUAAACUAAUUACUAACUUAUUAGGAUCGGAAUAUUGUUAUGACGUUGGUCAUCUUAUCUAUUGUAUGGUUAUUAUUUGGAAUCUUAAAGGUAAAUAUUUUGCAUUAUGUCAAAAUAGUCACACAGAUAUUUACUUUUGUGAAAAAAAUAAAUUAACUUGUCCCCAAAGUGUCAUGUCCUACUUUUUUUUAAAAAAAAAAAUAGAUAUGUCAUCGUGUCCCUGUUGUGUCGUAUCCAUAUCUCGUGUCAGUUUCUGUGCUUCUUAGAACCAACAAACUGAAGCUUGUAUAGACCCAAAGUUGUAGCAAAUACUCGAUGUGAAGUUGACAUUGAUCUAAAUUUUUUUGCUGCUUUCUUUAAGUGUAUGUUUCUCCUUAUAGGAUAGAUUUUUAAUCUUUAUUGAUGUUCGUGAAGCCAGGUUGAUCACCUCUCCCCCCAAAACAAUUCUAGUUUAGAAGAACCGAAGUCUAAUUUGUUGGAUUAGUAUAUGUAUUCAAGCUAAGACGUAAUGCAAGCAUAAUUAGCCUUAUUUGUCCUAUUUGAAUGCAAGGAUAGUCAUGAAAAGCUGGUAAACCUGCCGAAGUAAGAAGUUUCUUGCUUUGUGUUAUAUGUGGAUUACUGUAUUAAACUCUGUAAAUGGAUUCUGAUCAAAGUAUGAAACUUCUAACCCAAAACUUCUCAUUUUCUUUGUUUAGCAAGUUAGUAACUAGACUUGGAAUCAUUUAGGGAAGAACUGCAUGUCUGCAUUUCUUUUCCUCGAUUUUCUGAGUAAAUUAUCCAUGUCAACCAUUUUGUCACCGUGCUAGUAGGUUUACUUUUGUGGUACACAUGGUCUCUCAGAAGUUUCAGUGUUGAUAUAGCAUCCAGAAACCUUAUAGGAAGGGGUAUUAAUAUCUAUAUCAAAGUUUCAGUGUUAAUAUCUGCCUACCUUUUUCUGGUCAAAAAGUUAAAAGUUGUUCAAUAAUAAAUAUGAAGAAGUCAAACAGUUUCUUCCUUAUUUAUUGCUACCAUGUAAAUUUAAUUAUAAUUCUAAAAUAACGUACACAUGUUUAUAAUUGCGUUUAAUCCAAGUUCUAAAUUCUAUUAGAACAAGCCCAUUGUGAUCACACUACAUCUAUUAAGUGCUGCAAUGAGACUCAGGUAAUUUCCUUGAGCUUUCUUAGUGGAAUAAAUUGGUAACUAAGGCGACUGCAAAUUUCAGUUGAUCGUGUCAACUGCCAAAUGAACUUCUGUAAUGAAUUUAUGUUUGCUAUGGGGUUGAGAAAACUGUGGACGUGUUUGUGUAUUUGAAAUUUCAGGCUGGUCCCUUCAAUUCCUUAGAGGCAUGCACAAGCACUUAACAACAUAUCAAACUAUUGACCAUAUUUGUGUUGCUGUUUAUAUAUUUUUGGUAUUUAAAACUUAAGGGUAUAGUUGUACAACCUAUAGGACAGAUCUUGUUCAAGUAAGCCAUUAUUGUAUUUUUGGUAUUGUAAUUGGAAGGAGAUGAAAAGAUUUCUAAGACAAGUUUGGUCACAUUGAGAUGACUAGAAAAGAGUUAAGUUUUUUUUUUUUUUUUUUUUUUUGGAGUAGAAAUGAUAAAGCUGUAGAAAUUGCUUUCCUGAAUUGCGAGUUUGUAUUGUUUAACGUUUUUCCUUGCAACUGUUUUCCUUUUUCUUCGAGUAUAUCUUAUUCCCUUAUUAUCCUCUUGCAUCUCGAUUCUUACUUAUUGGUCAAUAUAUUAGUGUUCUAUUUCUGAACUUUAAAUUUGACUAUUGACCAAAAUUAUUUAAUCAAACUUUUUAAAGAGUUGAAAUUGUGUAAUUUCUUCUGAUCUUAUCAAUGUUAUCCUAUCUCUUUACCCAGUAAUCUAGUAGCUAGUCCCUUCGGUGUCCUUAUCAUCUGCCCAAGAGUGUGCUGUCUAUUUCAUUUUCUUUUCAUGUUUUUCAUUUGAUCUGAUGUAAAUCCUAAGCUGUGUUCUUGUUUGACUUCUUGAAAGCUAUUGCACCAUUGUAAAUUCCAAAGCAGUAUCUCAUCAUGUCAAGGUUGAAGUUUAUAUAUUUUUUUUUGUCAUAUCACUUGUAAUCCUCAGUAAAGAUGGAGAUAUUUCUCUUGCCUGUUAACAGUUUGACUUGAAAUUCUCGUUCAACAAGUUUAUCAUAGCACGUAUGUGCAAAGGAAAUGGCUUGGAAAAUUGCACUUAUUGCUGCUAUGUCUUAUCAGUUCCUGUGCUGUAUGUAGUACAUUUGUCCCUUUACAUAAACAUAUUCCUUGGUAGUGAUCAGAUAACAGAAUUAUUUUUUUUGAUCUUUUAUGUGCAUAGAAGAGAAUAGCAUUUUCUACAUAUAUAUAUAUUCUCAUACACCACCUUGUUUGAAUUUUUUUAUGCAUUUGCACAGAAUUAUCAUUUACUUCAGUCAGGUAGAAGCUCGAUGCAACCUUUCCUACAAUUCUGUCAAGCUAGAUUGUACAAAAGGCAUGAAAGGAAUGUGAACUUACUCACCUUGAAGUUCGAUAUCAGCAUGGAUGCAAAAAGCUUACACGUAGUUCUUCAGAUGGAUCGACUUGACUGCAAGCCUACAAUGUUAACUUCUCUGGAGAAUCAAGUCAUAUAAACAGGCUUUGAUAGACCGUCUUUUUUAUUUGGUCUAACAUGAUCCAUCCGUUGCAGCGGAAUGGAGAUGAUGAGGGAUCGAGUAAUAUAACUUGAAUUUUAUUGUUCAUCUGUGACAGUCUUUUCCUGGAGAAAAGAAAUGUGAAGUUUAAAUUCUAAAACAUUGGUUGCGAAUGGCAUGACAAUCGGGACAGACAUGCAAGUAAAAGAAAUUGCGUGUUCGUGCUGUAAGGACCCACUGGCUAUCCUAUCAAGCGACAAGAAGCGAUGGGCUGAAAGGAACCAGAAACUAAUAUUAUAUGAAUUCCAAGCACUUAGCUUAGCGAUGGAAAAUCGUUGCUUUGGAAUCACAAAACCCUUUCUUGUCAUCUUCAUGAUUUUUAAAUCUCUUUUUGGUCCAUCAUGUCAGGGAAGGCAGGCCAUAAUGCUGAUGAUGUUGAUGAUCCUUUUGUCGGGGGAAAACAUGCAUGGAACGAAGUACGUGUUGAUAUGAGCCAAAUUAGCUUCAUGGAAAUGGAAAGAGAUGAAGAGAUUGGUUAAAAGCUGAGAGAGCCUCGAAUCUGCCAUGAAUUGAAAGCUACGUUUCAAUUUGUAUGUGCCCAGAGAAAUGGCUGUGUGAACCCAUAAUUUUGUGCCCUUUCCAAGUGGGGAACUAUGAAAUCCGACCUCCAAAGCCUUCCUUUUUCAAACUCGCCGUGGGAAUAGUAACUAUCAAUCAUAUAUUUUAAGACUAAGUCUUACUUUUUAUAUUUAAAUUAUAGAAAUGAAGAGACCUCUCAAUCGAUAUAAAGAUAUAUGAAUUAUUUUUUUCAUUGUCAAUUAGUUUUGAAAGUCCAUAAAGUUCAAAUGGGUAUUCAGCUAAAAGAAAAUUGUGAUCCGACCCAAGAAUAUCAAUGGAUAAUAUCUUCAUCUUGAAGGGACAUGCUGAAAGAUCCCAUAUCGAAAAAAUGAAGAGAUCUCUCAAUCUUUAUAAGACACAUGAGUUACUCUUCUCGUUGUCAACUAGUUUUGAGAUAGAAACUUCAUGUUUAUCUAAUGGUUCGAUUUAUCGUUUUGGC